AUGGACUUGAAGGGCACACCAGCUAAACAUUUGAAACGCAUGUUUUGCCCUGAAAGUGUUAGACCCAUUCGGACAGGCGGAGGGAACUUUGUUCACCGGGUGCCCCCAUGGUGAGUCGUGAGUUUUAGGGCUAAGCCAAGCUGGCGUGCCAAAGGGGUUGCUGUUGAUCUUUUAUACUAAUUUUGGAUUAAUUGUGAUCUGCAGCACUGCGUAAACAUGCUAUCUUAGUGCUUUCGCUUCUCCACAGCUAAACAUUAAUCCUUCUUAAUGCUCUAAGUCAACUUUUAGUCCUUAGCAGAAUUUACCUUAAUCUCUGGCUAGUAAGUUAACUGAUUUACAAAACAUAAUCC
rnacentral:lncRNA from 1 species